UCAGAUCUGCCUCUAUCACGAUACACACGCACACACACAAAAGAGGUAAGAUCCAAAAGCAGUUUAAUUUGGGUAAUCCGUAAUCAUAAUCCAGCCAGGCAAAAGGUCAUACACGUUAAACAAUCCAGAACAUUAAAUAAACAAGAAUGCAGAAAGGCAGUGUGACAUAAAACAAGGACUCCGUGACAAGAAAUGAACAGACAGGGUAUAUAUACACAAACACUAACAAGCAUUAAUCUGAAGGUAAUGAAAGAUCAAAGUUUGACGGUGACCUUGAGGGACUCAGUCAAGUUUCUGAUCAUCCUGCACAAAGUUUGGCAGAAUCAUCCGUAUCACCAAGACUAUCUUGGAUUCUAAACCCUGGACAGCCACCUCCUAUCUAAAAGUGUCCACGGCCUGCUCGUUUUACCACAGUGUGAACUUUGAAGUUAGUGGCUUGAUCCCAGGAACAGACCCUGGCAAACAAGAUGCCAUCAUGUUUGUAAAAGGAAACAAGCUUACAGUUACCAGGGGCUUGAAAAAAGAUUCCAGACAGGAUGUGAAGAAUGGAGAAAAUGUGCCUUGUUGGUUCAUUCAUAAUAACGGCAUUGGACUUCUUGAUGGACUUCACACAAACUACAUCAAGUCUGAUCUCUUCAAGAACAUCUGACAAACACACAAAAGCUCUUGUCUAAAACUGUCA